ACGGAGGAUCCGAGCGUUAUCCGGAUUUAUUGGGUUUAAAGGGUGCGUAGGCUGUUUUUUAAGUUAGAGGUGAAAGCUCGACGCUCAACGUCGAAAUUGCCUCUGAUACUGAGAGACUAGAGUGUAGUUGCGGAAGGCGGAAUGUGUGGUGUAGCGGUGAAAUGCUUAGAUAUCACACAGAACACCGAUUGCGAAGGCAGCUUUCCAAGCUAUUACUGACGCUGAGGCACGAAAGCGUGGGGAGCGAACAG
rnacentral:rRNA from 2 species